GCUAAUGUAGCUCAGUAGGCAGAGCACAUCCUUGGUAAGGAUGAGGUCACGAGUUCGAAUCUCGUCAUUAGCUCCA
rnacentral:tRNA from 1 species